GGGUGAGGCUCAAGGUAAGAUUUUAGGUGAAACAAAAUAGCUCUUCAACUUAAUGUGUGACUAAGUGAAACCAAGCAAGUUACACACCGUAAGACAAUGACAGGGGUAUCAGCAUCGAUUUCACAGAUUUUCAGAAUGGCCCUGUGGCAGCUUCCAGCUGAGACAUUGCAGCUCUACACUGUACCUGAAGUUCUCCCCAGUGCCCCACAGCUUCAAGUGGCCACACCCUUGGUGAAGACACCAGUGCACCUCAAGGCAGGGAAGGGUCAUUUGAAGUAGGAAGACCUGCCCUAAAAGAAGGGAGCAUCUUCCAGUGGCAGCCCAGAGAAAAGGAGGUUGGAGAAAAAAGAUUUGCAUUUUGCCUGCUUGCCUUGUGUCUCACCAUCAAGUUCAUCUGCCCUGCUGCCACUGCUGCUGCUGCACCAUAACUUCACUGGCAUUAGAACCUAGCUUCUUGAGGCUCCCGACAUGGAACACCAGUUGUUCUCCAGACUGAAGACUCUCCAGGAAUCUUCCAGGCCUUCAGCACAAAUUGGAGCUACUGAAGAAUCCACUCCAUGGGCUGAG
rnacentral:lncRNA from 1 species